rnacentral:rRNA from 1 species
GACGAACGCUGGCGGCGUGCCUAAUACAUGCAAGUCGAACGCAGUGGGGACGGGUGAGUAACACGUGGGUAACCUCCCAUCAGAGGGGAUAACACUUGGAAACAGGUGCUAAACCGAUACUGAUGGAUGGACCCGCGGUGCAUUAGCUAGUUGGUGAGGUAACGGCUCCACAAGGCCACGUUGCAUAGCCGACCUGAGAGUGUGAUCGGCCACGCUGGGACUGAGACACAGCCCAGAUGCCAACGGGAGGCAGCAAUAGGGAAUCUUCGGGAAUGGACGAAAGUCUGACCGAGCAACGCCGCGUGAGUAAAGAAGGUUUUCGGAUCGUAAAACUCUGUUGUUAGAGAAGCGGUAUCUAACCAGAAAGCCACAGCUAACUACGGGCCAGCAGCCGCGGUAAUUC